AUAAGAUCAACGACCCACCCAUUCUGGUACUCAUGUGCCCAAAAAAAAAAAAAAAAGAAAAAAAGAAAAAAAACUGAGUGCCUUGCUCUGCUAGUCUCAUUCCUUCUCCAUCUUAUACCUUUCCAUUACUCUUCCUCUGUCCUUUGCUUCUUCUUCUUCCUGAGAACUUGGAGUUUCUUUACAAGUUACAACAAGUUGUCAUACUAUGCUUAAUUGGCCUAACCUCACUACUUAGUGGGAUACUAUAUUGUACUACUAUAUUGAGUGAUGGGUGUCAUUAUCUAUGAUGCACCGACACGGACACGUGUGUUCGACGCGAUACGUGUCGGAUACGUCGACUCGUGAUUUUUCAAAAAAAGUACCGACACGAUACGUCGUCGGCACGUUCAUUAAAUUCUCUAAAAUUCUUCAUUUAUAUAUUUUAAAUUUAGUUUUAUACUUAUUAUUGAUUUUUUUUGUUAAAAUCUUUUAAAUAUGAGUACUUAUUUGUUAUUUACUAAUAACUUUGAGUUAAAAAUAUAUAAUAACUAUAGUAAGAAAGAAAAAUGAUUAUUAUAGAGUGUCCAAAGAGUGUCGGUAUGAUACGUGUCCGACAUGACGCGCUGCCCUAGUUAGAGUGUCCGUGCUACAUAGGUCAUUAUUUUCUCUUUUCCUCUACUACUUAAAGAAAAAGAGUAGAUGUUGAUAGAUAUUACUUGAUAUCACUUCAAUCGCCACUGAUACACGUGUAUAAAUAAUUGCAGCCCAGUCUUAUGAAGAGUUAUUUUAAGGAACGCGUAACCAAUAUAAUUUCCUAAUUGCGGCCCAGUUUUAUGCAAUUAUGAGAUACCAUAUUCAUUUCCAUGUUCUUCUGGUUUCUUACCCUGUCCUUUUAUUUUACGAGUUAGGUGCUUCUGGAAAUGAGACUUGUAUUGUUGUCCAACUGUCAUUUUACUUUUAGUUUAUUUCAUAAAUUUUGAAAUUGUAUUAGAAUAAAUAACGUUUUGACCUUGUCCCUUGGGUUCUUAUUUUGAGUCCUAUGGACAAAAAAGGAAGGGAAUGAGAUGGAGAAUUUACAUCUUCUAUAAUUGGAUACGUGUAGGAAGUGAAGGGAACGCUCAACAAUUGUGUAACAGAAUUAUUCACUUGCAUCAUGUCCCUGUUUCCCUGUAAUAACUGAUUAUUCCCCUCGAACGAACAAAGCAUCAUAUGCACAAGUUCAAUCAAUCUAGGGAGCUUCUAGUUCAACAGUUUUUCAGGUUUAAUUCAGUUGCCGUCUUCAUUUUGUCUUACCCCAUUUACUCUGUUUCCACUUCAGCUGCAACCAACAAAUGAGGUUCUACAUAAGCCUGGCGAGGUGCAAGAGAAUAAGCUAGGACCAAAUGUUAGCAUGAGCACAGAUGCUACCAAUGCAACUGUUAUUAGCACAAACGACGGUAAGCUCAUUACACGGCCUUUAUUUACAUGCGCACUGCAUUUUAUUUAUAAUCAGUUAAAUCAAGAGUUUUUAUGUCAACGCAGGUUGUGAUUAACGACGAGAAAUAUUAUUGAUGCCAUGGAAGGGAUUCCUCCUGAUACACGGUAGCUCUUAGUUCUGUGCCAGAAAUCUUAUGGCUAUAGUUAUGAAAAGACGGCUUUUAUAGAACAUUGAACGAGGUGAAAUUAUAACAAUAACCUUUUUAAUUCUGAAUUUGAACUCCAGGACUGUAAACAACAAAAUGCACAGGUUUUUUCUAUUUUGAAGAGAAACUGUUAUCCGCCCCUUUAAAUAUGUAUAUUAUUCAACAUGACUCCUGCGGUUGUAUCAGUGAUAGAAGAGUCUACUUUGCAGAUGUAUUCAUUUAUGUAUCAGCAAUUUUAACACAGUUUUCAGAUUUUAUAUGCACAUCUUCAUAUUUAUAAAAUGCUUAAGUAAAGAAUCUUUCUUUUUAUCAGUAAA
rnacentral:lncRNA from 1 species